rnacentral:rRNA from 1 species
GACGAACGCUGGCGGCGUGCUUAACACAUGCAAGUCGAACGGAAAGGCCCUGCUUUUGUGGGGUGCUCGAGUGGCGAACGGGUGAGUAACACGUGAGUAACCUGCCCUUGACUUUGGGAUAACUUCAGGAAACUGGGGCUAAUACCGGAUAGGAGCUCCUGCUGCAUGGUGGGGGUGGGAAGGUUCGGCGGUUGGGGAUGGACUCGCGGCUUAUCAGCUUGUUGGUGGGGUAGUGGCUUACCAAGGCUUUGACGGGUAGCCGGCCUGAGAGGGUGACCGGCCACAUUGGGACUGAGAUACGGCCCAGACUCCUACGGGAGGCAGCAGUGGGGAAUAUUGCACAAUGGGCGGAAGCCUGAUGCAGCAACGCCGCGUGCGGGAUGACGGCCUUCGGGUUGUAAACCGCUUUCGCCUGUGACGAAGCGUGAGUGACGGUAAUGGGUAAAGAAGCACCGGCUAACUACGU